AUGAGGUCUCGCUGCCCAGGAAAAAAGGAAUUUCUGGAGAGUUUGAGCUUUCUGCUCUAUGGCAAGAAAAGGGUAUUUGCCUUCGUAACCUUUGACGACCAUGACUCCGUGGAUAAAAUUGUCAUUCAGAAAUACCAUAUUGUGAAUGGCCACAACUGUGAAGUAAGGAAAGCCCUGUCAAAGCAAGAGAUGGCUAGUGCUUCAUCCAGCCAAAGAGGUCGAAGUGGUUCUGGAAACUUCGGCGGUGGUCGUGGUGGUGGUUUCGGUGGGAAUGACAACUUUGGUCUGGGAGGAAACUUCAGUGGUCGAGGUGGCUUUGGAGGCAGUCGUGGUGGUGGUGGAUAUGGUGGCAGUGGGGAUGGCUAUAAUGGAUUUGGUAAUGAUGGAAGCAAUUUUGGAGGUGGUGGAAGUUACAAUGAUUUUUGGCAAUUACAACAAUCAGUCUUCAAAUUUUGGACCCAUGAAGGGGGAAAACUUUGGAGGCAGAAGCUCUGGCCCCUAUGGUGGUGGAGGCCAAUACUUUGCCAAACCACGAAACCAAGGUGGCUAUGGUGGUUCCAGUAGCAGCCGUAGCUAUGGCAGUGGCAGAAGAUUUUAAUUACUGCCAGGAAACAAAGCUUAGCAGGAGAGGAGAGCCAGAGAAGUGACAGGGAAGCUACAGGUUACAACAGAUUUGUGAACUCAGCCAAGCACAGUGGUGGCAGGGCCUAGCUGCUACAAGACAUGUUUAGACAAUACUCAUGUGUAUGGGCAAAACACUCGAGGACUGUGUUUGUGACUAAUUGUAUAACAGGUUAUUUUAGUUUCUGUUCUGUGGAAAGUGUAAAGCAUUCCAACAAAGGGUUUUAAAUGUAGAUUUUUUUUUGCACCCAUGCUGUUGAUUGCUAAAUGUAAUAGUCUGAUCAUGACGCUGAAUAAAUGUGUCUUU